rnacentral:rRNA from 1 species
UAAGUAUUACUUGUAAUUAUAUAAGUAUAUAAAGAAACUAUUAUGGAAUUUAAGCUAUGUAUUAAAGAGAAUUAUUUAUAUAUAUAGAGAUAUUAUAUCCUAUAAUUAUAUAAACUCUAAGAGAAAUCUAAUACUAAACGAAGUGAAUUGAAAUAUCUUAGUAACUUCAGGAAAAGAAAUCAAAAGAGAUUCUAUGAAUAGCGUGAGCGAAAGUAGAGUAGCCUAUAAAGUAGAACGGUAUUAAAACUGUUUAAAUAUAAUGGGGAACCUUCCUCAAAGGCUAAAUAUAAUACAUAAGCGAUAGUGAAAAGUACCAUGAGGGAACAAAAACAAAAAUAGUAGUUUUAUAAGCAGUUCGAUAAAAAGAACGUACCUUUUGCAUAAUGGGUCACCAAGUUAACGUUAGAUGCGAGUAUAUGCGUAGUUAAACCGAACGUUAAAAUAACGAAAUAGUGUCUAAAGUUAGACCCGAAGCACGGUGAUUUUACCAUGGUCAGGAUUAUAAAAGUCCGAACGGGUGAUUGUAGCAAAAAUCUCCGAAGAACUGUGGUAGGUGUAGUGAAAGACAACACUGACUGUGAUAGCUGGUUUUCUGCGAAACCUAUAAUAGUAGGCAAUUUAAGUAAAUAUCUUAGCAGGUACAGAAUUUAAUCUCAGACAAGACGUGUAAACGUUUUAUAUUGUACAAAUUGGGGAAUCAUGAAGAUUUUAUCAGUGAGUAUGUAGACUCGGAAUGGCAAAGAUAUGUCUUAAAUUAUCAGACAUAGAAUGAUAAGGUUGUAUGUCGAAAGGGAAACAGCCCAGAACAAGAGUUAAGGUUCCUAAAUUAUUAGUUAAGUGAAAUUAAGAAGGUUUUUAUUAAAGUCGACAAGGAGAUAGGCUUAGAAGCAGCCAUAAUUUUAUGACCUCGUAACAGAGCGCUUGUUAAGUUAUAAAAGCAUCGAAAAUAUAACGGAUCUAAACAAUAUACCGAAACCUUGUCCAUAAUAUAUUAUAUUAAUUAUUUUUAAUGUAAUUUAAUGGGGUAGCAGAACGUUGAGCUAGAUUAUGAUUUCUAUUUUUUAAAUAGAAUUAUAUUAAUUUAACUCAAGUGAGAAUGGUGACAUGAGUAACGAAAAGAAAAUUUUCCGCCUUAAGCUUAUGGAUAUAAUUAAGUAACGGCCUCUAAGUUUAUAUUAUCUAAAGAUUUAAACGAUGAGAAAAUCUUUUUUACUAAGGACAACAUUUUAGUGUAAAAUGUGCUGGAAAAAUAGUAAAUAUAUUUGUUAUUUAUAACAAAUGAACAAUAACCGUACCUAGAAUCUGAAACAAGUAAGCUAGUAGAGAAUACGAAGGCGUAAAUGAGCUAACAAUCAUAAAGGAACUCGGCAAAUUGACUACCGUAACUUCGGAAUAAGGAGGGCUCAUUAUUCUUGAUUAAUAUCAAGUAAAGAGGAAGAAGCAUGAAAUAAUGUUGUACGACUGUUUAAUUAAAACACAGCACUUUGCUGAAAGAUUAAAAAUCUAUGUAUAAAGUGUGAUAUCUGCCCGGUGCCGGCUGGUUAACAGAGAUAAUUGAAUAUACUACUAUUUGAUGUCGACGGAAACCCCGGUUAAAGGCGGCCUUAACGUGAGGGUCCUAAGGUAGCGAAAUGCCUUGGCCGUUAAAUGCGGUCUUGCAUGAAUGGUGUAACGAUACAACAGCUGUCUCUAUGAUUGACUCAGUGAAAUUGGAAUAGCUGUGCAGAUACAGCUUACCUCUAGUUAGACGAGAAGACCCUAUGCAGCUUUACUGUCACUAAUUAUAGAGUAUGAUAGACAAUUUUCAGAUUAUAAGGUAAUUGACAAUAUGACAAUGAGAAUCCUUUAUUUUUCUUUCAUAUGAAUGAAUUGGUUUAGGAUUAUGAGUAGAUUAUAAUUAAUGUGGCUUAUUACUGAGUCGUUUAAAAACAUUAAUUAUAGUCUUUAAAUCAUUAUAUAGCUCAUUUUAGUAAAUCAGCCUAAUUCAACUUACUAUUUUAUAAUAGUAAGUACCCUUUGGCAAGGAACUAUCGCUAGGGGACAGUUUAUGUGGGGCACAGACCCUGUAAAGAGUAAACAGGAGUGUCUAAUAAUUAUAAAUUAUUUUGUUUGCUAUUUUGAGUAGUAAGCGCAAGCUAUAACUAUUUUUAAUCAUAUAUAAUUAUUUGUAUUUGCAUUUAUUGUAAAUAUAUUUAAGUUUAGGUAGGAUUUUUACUAUAUAGAAAUUAGAGAUAAUUGAAAAUAUUACGAAUUUUUCUAAUGUUUUCUAGCUAUCAUUUUUGAUAGUUAUGUAUUCAAUAUCUAAAAAGCUCAACGGCUAAAUCUUGCCUUACUGUUUGAUUAUCUACAAAUCUUACAGUUGCGUAAGCAGGGCAUAGGAUCACAAGAUGCAAUAAGGAAAGAUCUUGGAUUAUUGGAAAAGCUACGCUAGGGAUGUUUGUCCUUUAAUAUUUUAUUUUGAUUAGUAAGUUAUGCAUUAAUUAUGUAUGAACUAAAACUAUAAAUAAAAUCAUUAAUAUAAAGAACCAUUUUGAAAGAAAUGGAAAUAUAAAAUUAUGAUAACAUACAGAACAGGCUAAUUUGCGCAAGAGUGUACAAAAUGAGUGCGCGGUUUGGCACCUCGAUGUCGGCUUAACUUAUCCUCAUGGACGCAGGAACUAUGUAGGGUGCGACUGUUCGUCGAUUAAAAAGUUACAUGAGCUGGGUUAAAUACGUCGUGAGACAGUAUGGUUUCUAUCUUCUAGGGGGAAUUAGAAUAAAAUAAGAACGAACUUUUGUACGCAAGGAACAAGAAGAGUUUAGCCCGUAAAAAGGUUAAAAUAUGGUUACUAACCUAUGGUUUACCUGUUGUUUAUGUGCCCAUAUAUUAAAUAUAUAUACAAUUGUAUAUAUAUAUAUGUAUUAUUAUACAUAGGGAUGUUUCUCUCACUAAGAUAAAUGUAUAGCAUAAGCACGGCAGGAACGCUAAGUUGGUUAAGGAUAAGUGCUGAAAGCAUAUAGGCACGAAGCUUAUCUUAAGAUAUUUCUUAAAUAUACGUAAUAUACUAUUACGAAAUUUAUAGGCUUUAUCCGUACGAAUCUAGAGAUUUUAAAGAUUAAAGUACUAAUUUAAUAAUUCACUAUUUAUAAAUAUAUCA